UACGAACCGUCCAAACGUUGUUCGGAAUCACUGGGCUUAAAGGGCGCGUAGGCGGGCUAUCAAGUCCGGGGUGAAAUCCUCCAGCUUAACUGGAGAACGGCCUCGGAUACUGAUGGUCUCGAGGGAGAUAGGGGCACGCGGAACUGUGGGUGGAGCGGUGAAAUGCGUUGAUAUCCAUAGGAACUCCGGUGGCGAAGGCGGCGUGCUGGAUCUCUUCUGACGCUGAGGCGCGAAAGCGAGGGGAGCAAACGGG
rnacentral:rRNA from 1 species